GUGCGAUGUAGUUAUGUUGCGCAUCCUUUUGUGUGCAGCAACGGCUGGACCUGCAUGAGAGCACGUGAUCGGAGAUGAUUAAGGCGGUGGCGGUGGAAUAAGUUUAGCUUCUCAUCUCCCUUCGCUGAGCCCUUUUGAUUCCGCACGUGGGUUCAUGAACUGAGUGAUAUGAUAUCCUCAUAUGCUCCACAAGAUGCUCCAGUCUGUUAAAUUGUCUGAAGCAUGCUGCACACUUGUUCCUGGUAAUUAAUUGUCCAACAAGCAAUUAGUAUUACAUAUAUAUCUUUAAAUGGGUUUUCUAAUGCAUAUAUAUAUUUUCCAACAA